GGCAACGAAGGAGACUGCGCC
rnacentral:siRNA from 1 species